rnacentral:sRNA from 1 species
AAGCGACCAGUCAAAAGUGCCGGAAGAUGGGGUGGAAUCCGGCCGUGUCGGACCCGCAUAAGACGGAGUCGGACGCCCCCAAGAGUCGCCCGGGCCUGCCCAUAUGU